rnacentral:hammerhead_ribozyme from 1 species
AUUCAGCUGACGAGUCCCAAACAGGACGAAACGUGCAUGUCCUGGAU